UAGCACCCAAAGCAACACUUAGCCCAUUACCAAUCGUCUUGGAAAGAUAUUGCAACCAUCAUGGUUCAUGUCCAAGUGUUUGGGUAGUCCGAAAUAGCUUGGUUGAGAAGUUUGGUCUUCGAGCGAGUCAUUUGUCUUCUUGGUUCGGCCAACGCUUCCUCCACUACAUGCUGCUCCUCGGCUCCAAGUUGUUCCUCGGCUAUAAGCUGCUCCGCUGGUUCAAGUUUCGGGUGGUGCUCGGGAAUAGUCAUAUCAUGCUCCCCCUCUUCA
rnacentral:sRNA from 1 species